UACGGAGGGUGCGAGCGUUGUCCGGAAUCACUGGGCGUAAAGGGCGCGUAGGCGGCUUCUUAAGCGUGUGGUGAAAGCUCGGGGCUCAACCUCGAGUCGGCCAUGCGAACUGGGAGGCUUGAGCACUGUAGAGGCAGGUGGAAUUCCGGGUGUAGCGGUAGAAUGCGUAGAGAUCCGGAAGAACACCGGAGGCGAAGGCGGCUGGCUGGGCCUGAUCUGACGCUGAGGUGCGAAAGCGUGGGGAGCGAACAGG
rnacentral:rRNA from 1 species